rnacentral:lncRNA from 1 species
GUCUCCAAUGUCUAUUCCACAUUAUAUGUCCAGUGUGUACACAUUAUUUAGCUUCCUCUUAUAAAAUGACAACAGGUGCUAUUUGACGUUGUUUCUGUGGAUAUACUUUUGAUGAAUUAUUCUUACUAAUUAUUGAGAAUUAAAGUUUAUUCAUUUUCUUGUAAUAAACUAGUGGCAAUAAAGGAAUUAGCCUUUACCUUCUGCUUUAGGAGUGCAGAUAUUAGUAAGGAAAUUCAAACACAGUAUGCUCACAAGUUACAGUUCAAUGAUGCUGUAAUAAAGUUAGAAAAGACCUCCAACAAUCUCCUUACCUCUGUGCUACAAAUGGCUAGGAAAGUCCUCAUAAUGUCUGUCAAAUAAACCAUCCCUCCUGGGUAACAGAAUUAUCGGCCAGGCAUAUCUAAUCUAUUCGAAUUAAGAUAGGAAGCAAAAACUCAAGGGAUGCUUAUAACAUGAAAAUAAGCUUCAUACCACAAUGCUCAAUGAGACAACCUCUCUUUAGAGGUUGACUUCAGACCAUGCAUAAUACAAUGAGAGGAUGCUUAAGGGUUAAGGUAACUUCUUUCUGAAUCUUUUGUGCAGAAGCACUGGGACAUGAUCCUCCUGGAAACCAUAAUGAACUAGUAUUAAACUCAAAUAAAAUCUGAACAAACUCUCCACUAGAAUAAUCUUUAGCAGAAGUACUAGGUACUUUGAGCUUUAUUAGGAUUUUUUCUUUGCCCCCUUACCUGGUGUGUGCUGAAUGGUGGCCCUUCCUGCACAAAUACUACUGAAGAUGGAGAUGGAUUAUGAUUUAGGUGCUCCUUCAGUUUGACAUGAGCUUGCUGGAUGGCUGCAGAUUCCUGUAUUGUGCUAUUUUCAACAGGCUGAGCUGUGUGGAUGGUAUAGAUGUACUCAGGUGACUGUGGUAGAGAGCAGGCAAUUGCUUGUUCUGUUCCAACCACAAAAGACAUAAUAUCUGAGCCUACAGGAGUAAGUGGCUCCAGCUGGCUAGCCUGACUUGCAGAACAUGGAUUGCUGUUGUUAGAAUUAGCUAGAAUGUGUUGGCCUCUGUUAGAUUGAGAUGUUGGGCACUGAUUCUCAACAGGCUCCACCUUUACCAUCUCCAAUUUAGGGGAGGAAUGCAACUCAUCUACUAUCUGAAAGACAGCCUCUAGGUUUACUUCUGUCUUUUUAUUUUCAUCAGUAGUACUGCAGGGCCAAUUGGAAGGCAAAAAUUCAACUGGAUAGGAGGAUUGCAUUGAAGGAUUCUGGGAAAAGAAAAAAUAUAACUGUUUGGAUAGAAAAUCAAAUAUGAGAUUAAGGAGGAAAGCUACAAUAUUUAGGCUGAUGAGUGCUAAACAUAAAUAGAUUAAACUUAAAGAUCACUAAGAAAACCUAGACACGAAUCUACUUUUCAGCAAUAGUAGCUUCAAAUCUACUGUUAGCAUUUACUUAGUAUGUACUACAUGUCAACCACUCUGCUAAGUUUAACACUUCAAUGGGUCAAUAAUUCUUAGGGUUAAACUAUACAAAAUCAAAAGCUAUAGUACCCAAAUACCUAUUUGCUGAGAAAGCUACUAUACACCAAAUUCUUCCAUAAAAGCUGACAGACAAAAACAUAAUUUGUAUCUAUCAUAUACUGUUUUAGGAAUGCAGUAAGGAAAUUUCAAACACAGGAUGCUCAAAAGUCUACCAAUCCUUCUACGGAUUCAGGGAG